rnacentral:misc_RNA from 1 species
UUAGUGUCAUUGAUACAGUGUCGGUAUAGUGUCAACCGUUACGUGUAAUUGUCUGAAGGUGGUGGCGUGGGAGUCCGACAUUUUAACCGCUCGUAUUCACGAAAAGAUACAAGUGUCCACGUGUGAAAUACGGUCGCCACUCAGGCCCGUGAGAAUCACAAGUCGAGCUUAUCAACAAGAUUUUUUAGUGUCUUCUCUGAUAAGAAACUUACUAUGCGUGUGGUUAAUAUUUGAUUUCAUGGUCACGAUCUAUUUAUUUUUCCAUUUUCGUGACCACACCGUUCAUUACCAAAGAAAAAGCAGAAGAAAGGAAAUUAUAAUUUUUAGAAAUCAGUGUGUCUAUUGACAAGUUAACAGCAUCGUUGAAAAAUAUCUGUGCUUUGUAGUGAAGUGUUGGAUGGUAUUUUAUCAAGUGUCUAACAAUGAAAAAUACCUGACAUCAACAUCACAAAGAUCAUGGAAGUUGAUAGUGAAAUUGAAUGAGAAUUCGUUUCGUCGAAAAGUGGAAUUUACAGCGUAAGACGACAAGUGAACUGAUAGCAGCAAAAAAGAAGAAAAUAAAGAACUGAACGUAUCGUUGUUGAAAAUUGAUAAAAUUAGUUAAAAGGACAGAAAGGGGUUUAGGAACAAAAAGGAUUAUACGAGGGGAGAGUAUCGGAAAGCGAGUGUACACAUUCGUGGAUUGCGUAAUAAAAAGGGAGAGAGAGAGAGUGAAAAAGAAAAAAACUCAGUGUGUUUGUAAAUAAGAGUUAUUUUUCGUAUGAGGGAAAAGGAGCUACAUCGACGUCGAAACGAGGAGAAACGAGUGAGAAGACGUUUAAAAGUCCUUGAACGAAAGAAGGUUCGGAGGACUUUCUCUCUCUCUCUCUCUCUCUCUCUCUUAGAAGGAUAUACGAAGGUGAUAAAACACUGGUAACAGAGGAUAAGAAAGAGGUGAAUGA